UAUGCAUGAUACUAUAAUAUGAUACUUCCUACUAUGACCAGCCUAAAAGAUCUGACAAAACUAGAAACACACGGGCUUUUAAUUCUUAUAAUACUUUCUGUCCGUAUUGCAGACCAUAUGCAUGGUGAUUUCUCAGUCAAACAAACCAAGGCGUAGAUACGAUGUCUAUGCAUAGAUCGAUCGAUCGAUCUGGUUCAUGUAACCAUGCAUGCAGAUGCAGGUAAAAUUACAUAGAGAUAAACAAUAGAUAGAUGGACUGCGGACGGACUCGUGCAAGUAUAUCCUCGAAGCAAACACAUCAUAGAUAGAUUGACUAGAACAGCAGCAACAGUGAAUCUACGAGCCUAUCUCCUUCUGGAUUGCCGCGGUACCACUCUUGAAUAAGAAUAAUGAAAAGGGAAAAAAUCAACAGUCCUAGGAGGGUGCACAAAGCGGAGACGAAGAGCACGCCGUUAGCGGCGUCGGAAAGCUUCUCGACGUAGUCAAACAGCCCGAAGCCGAUGACGAUAAGAGUCAAACCGAUGACGGCCACUAGACACAUCAGUACCCACCUGCAACACUCCGCGGGCUCCGCCGCCACCGCCACAAGCUCGUCGCCGUCCAUCUCCGGCCACUUCCCUGGUUUAACUGUCCGUCCACUUUGGCUAAGGUUUGGUAAAAGUAAUCAGAAGAUCCAUCCAUCGAUGUAGCUAACCGUACCUAGGUCUUGGGAGUGUUUGUUAGGAUCGGCCGUUCAGAUCGCCAUGCACGCCCCGAUUCGAGACCCCAAAACGCACAGGGUUACUACCUGGCCGGG
rnacentral:lncRNA from 1 species